ACGGAGGGGGCUAGCGUUGUUCGGAAUUACUGGGCGUAAAGCGCACGUAGGCGGCUUUGUAAGUUAGAGGUGAAAGCCCGGAGCUCAACUCCGGAAUUGCCUUUAAGACUGCAUCGCUUGAAUCAUGGAGAGGUGAGUGGAAUUCCGAGUGUAGAGGUGAAAUUCGUAGAUAUCGGGAGGAACACCAGUGGCGAAGGCGACUACCUGGCCUGUUCUUGACGCUGAGGCGCGAAAGCUAGGGGAGCAAACGGGA
rnacentral:rRNA from 1 species